GUGUGAUGUAAUCUUUGAAAGUUUAUGACCGAACCUUUAUUGGGGAGCGACAAGAGAUCUCCGGCAUCAGUUUGGAUGGAGCAGUGCUGUUAUACUCAAGUCUAUUGCGAAAUUGUCUAAACUGGUAUUAACUAUUCCUGGUAAAUCGCGGACAAGAGUGGCCUGAACAAAAAAGUCAGCCCGAGACUAGAACCUCCCGCAGCGUAACAAGGAAAUCUUGGAGCAAAGAGACGCCGAGUGGCUCGUGUUGUGCGGUUUGGAUAUCUGCUGCAAAGCGAACGUUGUGUGUACUAUUGCAAAAUAGCGGAUCUCCCCGGUUAGGAUACAGACCACAACGCUUUGGACGUAUCUUUAAAAAAGAGAAAAAUCAGAGACUUUUUGGAUUUGUCUGGGGACAUUUUAAACAUUUUGUGUCAAAUUGGAUUUAAAACAUUUCGGAUACUGGAUACCUAGUUUGAUUUGUCCACAGAUCUUGUUUAAGACGU